rnacentral:rRNA from 1 species
UACGAAGGGUCCGAGCGUUAAUCGGAAUUACUGGGCGUAAAGCGUGCGCAGGCGGUUUUGUAAGCCAGAUGUGAAAUCCCCGGGCUUAACCUGGGAACUGCAUUUGGGACUGCAAGGCUCGAGUACGGCAGAGGGAGGUGGAAUUCCACGUGUAGCAGUGAAAUGCGUAGAGAUGUGGAGGAACACCGAUGGCGAAGGCAGCCUCCUGGGCCAGUACUGACGCUCAUGCACGAAAGCGUGGGGAGCAAACAGG